rnacentral:rRNA from 1 species
AGUGAUGUAUGAGUUAGUGGCGGACGGGUGAGUAACGCGUGGAGAACCUGCCGUAUACUGGGGGAUAACACUUAGAAAUAGGUGCUAAUACCGCAUAAGCGCACAGCUUCGCAUGAAGCAGUGUGAAAAACUCCGGUGGUAUACGAUGGAUCCGCGUCUGAUUAGCUGGUUGGCGGGGUAACAGCCCACCAAGGCGACGAUCAGUAGCCGGCCUGAGAGGGUGAACGGCCACAUUGGGACUGAGACACGGCCCAAACUCCUACGGGAGGCAGCAGUGGGGAAUAUUGCACAAUGGGGGAAACCCUGAUGCAGCGACGCCGCGUGAGUGAAGAAGUAUUUCGGUAUGUAAAGCUCUAUCAGCAGGGAAGAAAUACUGACCUUACGGUCAGCAGACGGUACCUGACUAAGAAGCCCCGGCUAACUACGUGCCAGCAGCCGCGGUAAUACGUAGGGGGCAAGCGUUAUCCGGAUUUACUGGGUGUAAAGGGAGCGUAGACGGCAGCGCAAGUCUGAAGUGAAAUCCCAUGGCUUAACCAUGGAACUGCUUUGGAAACUGUGCAGCUGGAGUGCAGGAGAGGUAAGCGGAAUUCCUAGUGUAGCGGUGAAAUGCGUAGAUAUUAGGAGGAACACCAGUGGCGAAGGCGGCUUGCUGGACUGUAACUGACGUUGAGGCUCGAAAGCGUGGGGAGCAAACAGGAUUAGAUACCCUGGUAGUCCACGCCGUAAACGAUGAUUACUAGGUGUUGGGGGACCAAGGUCCUUCGGUG